UGAACCCACUUCAUCUUCUGUAACCUGCCAUGCAAAAAUAAGUCGUGAGAUGCAAACAGUGUUUAACUUGCAUAGCCAUCGCCAAUGGUGCAUAGUCCACAAAAGGUGAAGUCCGCCAAUUGGCUAAUUGCAGUUAUACAGAUACUUGCAUUUGCAUGUUUUAGUUCGUUGGUCUAGUCGAAACACAAUCUACAUAAAUAAAACAAAAUUAAGUAUAGAGAUUUGCCAAUAGAUGGACACAAGUGAACCAGGAUGAGACAAUAAGUGGUUAUAGGUAGAUAGCAAAAACUUUAAUAUCUUUGCUAUAUAUUACGAUAGCGCACUCAUUGAAAAAGAAUUAACAAUGCGCAAAAAAUGCCAUUACAUAUUUAAAAUACACAGCAUCAGGGCACACCAGAUAAUCUAACAAGAAACAACACAAACCUAUAUAAUCUAGAGCCAAGAGCAAAUUCUAUAAUAGUGAUAAAUUCUAUGG
rnacentral:misc_RNA from 1 species